CGAGGAUUAACGAGAUUGGAGAGAAGUCCUGAUGGCUGGGGAGUUGAUAAUUAUUGUGGGGAUGUCUUAAUUGGUUGAUGGGGUGAUGGCGAAUGAGUGAUGCCUUUUCACCGUUUUCAUUCCGCUGAGAGUUUUGGAUCAUCAUCGCAGCUAUCGGAGGAUGUACUAGUCCUGUGUAAUGCAUCGCGUGUUGUAAUGUACAGAGCAUUUGGAGUGAGACCGAUUAAGGGAUAAAUGGACGGAGUAGGUCGCUGACCUCUCAGAGCUCAAGAGGAUCUUCCGAGAAGCGAAAAGUUCUCUUCACACACUGACCUCCAUUUGCUCCAGCACUCAGAUGGAGAAAACACCCGAAGAUUAAAAUUGUUUAAAAUCCUCAAACUCACCAUUUUUUAAAUAAAAUUCCCAGUGAAAAUUCCAAUAGUCGUCCCUUGCGCUCUUCAAAUUAAUGACUUCACCCUAUCACUGUACACCACCCACGCAUGUCCAAAAAUCACAGAGUAAACGUUCAAUAAAAAAUAAAUCAGACACUUUUAUACACUUUUUAAAUAAUUAACGUAUCGAUUUUGUUAGCGCACGGUGUUAAAGUCUUGGACAGUUUGAAGGGACAGUGAGCAAGCUAAAGGCCUAUAUAGAUAUCCCCACCAGGAGUUUAGAGUGUCUACCCGGACUGGGAGUUCCUUUACAGAUGCUGACAUGGGUCUAUCCUUCCAGGAGAAAGCAUACGGUUACACUGGAUCUUUCAACAAAUUUGAAAAAAAUCCCAGAUUUCGACUUCAAUUCCGGGAAAAAAACUCUCAUGUCUGUUCACGUUGAAAAAAUAGUUGGAAAAUAAUAACAACAAUUUGCACGGAAUAAAAAAUAAAUAAAUAACUGAGGAAUGCAAUUCUACAGUGUGAGAUUGAAACAGUUUGACUGCGAAUCUCGGAAACAAUUGGAGCAAAGUAGAUUGUGCAAACUGCAAUUUAAAAACAACUCUCCCGAGCUUUCUGAAUAUAAAUUUUGACUGCAAUCAAUCUCAAUCCUCUGAUCUACUUACAAAAAUCCAAUUGUAAUAAAUUUGUCCGAAUUCAGAUCACUUUCGACAAUGCGACAGACUUUCAUCUCCAGAAUUUCAUCUCCUAAAACCAGAGAUCAUAAAAAUAAAAAAAAAAUAAACGACGAGAAUUACAAGUGGCCGAUCAUAUUCGCAAUUGUUGGAGCAUUAAACCCCAGGAGUUGCUUCAGAUGAAAUUGAAGGGAAUAGGAUCAGCAAAUUGUUCUCAUCCCACGGAAUUCCAUCAAGCAGUUGAGAAAGUCGAUGCAGGUGCCAACCAGUAAAAACUAAAGAUAGGAAAAUCAUCGAAAAAUAGUGACCAGAAUAUUUUACCGAAAGCGGAAGCUUUUUUCUUUGAAAAAAAUCGAUGUGAGAGGGAAAUGGCAGACGAUAGAACGAUAAAAAUUGCGGGAUGAUAAACAUGAAGAAGGCCGAGGCGAUAUCCUGAGAAGGAGGACACAGCGAUCGUCAGGGCGCCGUAUAUCCGGUCAUUGAAUUCCCCAGAUGUUCCACCUCUUCUUGAAAAACGUUGUCAUAGUGACUGGGGUCACAGCGGUGAGAGCAAACCGAUCUUACUUUCACCCUUACCCACACUCGAUGGACAUUAUUUUAAAUCCAGGGCCCAGGAAUCACCAUCUCCCUCUCGCACAGAGCUCAUCAUCAUGCUAAUCGUCAGCCAGGGAUUGAGACAGGAAGAAGACUGGUUUUUUUUUUUUACAUUCGAGAACUUGACCCAGAUAUCGACACCCGGUGUGGCUGACCUACUGUUACACACCUCCACAAACAUUCCAACUGCAAAGAGAAAAUAGACGAUACACGAAAUACACUCUGAAAAAUCAUUAAUUAUUCAUUUAAUUUUGUAACAAUACGACACUCACACAUUUAGAACUUUUUUUAUCUAUUUAUUUAUUAUUAAUUAUCGCCCAGUUAUUAUUUUUGCAGGUUGACGGUAAUUAAUGAAUGAAAUAGAAGAAGUGAUUAUUUUUAUAAACGCAUGACGCGUCAGUUAAUGGAAUUAAUUGUUAAUUAUUCCUGUGAAGGUUUAAACAAAUACGAUUGUUUAUAUUUUAUGAAGAUUGAGGAUUAUUCGUCUCCGAUCGUUCGGGAAUUUGCAAAGCUCUCGUGGUUUGAACCCGAGAGGAAGUUUCUGUAAUAGUUAAUGUUUUUCAUCCGUCAAUUUAGUGUGGAAUAAUUUACGCAAUACUUAAAUGACUGCAGUGAGAAUAAAAUUCAUUUUCUCAACGUAGAAAUUCAUAAUUUCUAGAUUUUUCCGUGAUGAAGGAUCCGAAUAAAAUACUGGCACCUGCGGACUAAAAAACCAUUAAAAGACUAGAAGGACUAGACUAUAAAAAUUAAAGCUUUAAAAAUUGUUAAUGCCAAAUAAACAAUUUAUCGUGGGAUUGUAGAAAGUAUUAUAAUUCGUAAUUCACAUGCGCAUUUCAUGGUGAAUUCCUUAAAAAUAAUCA